UAUAUGAGGAGGUCAUGCAGUACACAUUGGACUGACUGUCUUGAGGUUUGGACCACUGGCUGACCCCCUUCUACAUGGCUUGGCUUUCCUGUUGAUUUAUUUAUCAGAGAAUAGGUGUGAGAAACAAAUGAGCCUGUUUCCUGACUGUUUCAGUAGAAACGGUUCUGAAAUGAGCCACUUGUUAAAAUAAAAUGGGGUUGGGUUAAGGCUAAGGGAGAGUUCUGAAUAUUUUUGACAAUUAUUUGUCUAAGAUGUGCAACCAUAGCAACAUGUCUUGAUUAGAAAAAGUUGAUUGUUUAUUCUAUGAAUCAUCUUUUUCAUUUGAACAAGGAUAUCAUGUUUGUUCAUGAAGGUACUUUGGAAAAAAAGCAACAACUUUUGCAGUGUGAAUUGAGUAUGAAUUCAGUUCCAUUCAAAAGGGCCAAGAGUGAACUGAACAUGGACCCGUUCGUUUCACAUCCCAAUUCCCUCGGCAUCAAAUAAAGGGUGGGGUGGACAGUUGUCUCAUUGGCCCUCAGUACAUGGAGAAGAAUGCGGUGACGACUACCAGCCCAGAGUCAUUCACGAAGGGCCGGCCCUUCUAGGAGACAAAGCAAUAUCCCAGCAGAGUAUGAAGUCAUCACCACCGUUUGUAUGCAACAUUACAAAAGGUUCAGUAAGGUUCACCUACGUCUCGACACGAGACAGGGACCAGUCUGGUCAGACCCUGACCCAAGAGUGCCUGGUUCAUCAGUCAGUCUUAAUGGGUGGGUGGGGUUUCUAUGGGUACAGGUGGGGCUACAGUAAAUAUUCAUAACGUAUGAUAACUAUGAAGCAAUUAAGAGGUAAUUGUUUUACAGUUUUUUUUACGAUUGCUUACACACUAAAAUGUAACUUUUCCCACAAUUAGCAAAACCUUACACUCAAGGAGCAAAACACAAGGCUAGAUUUGCACAACUGUAAGCGCAUUGUCAGCUUCACACUAUUUGCAAAACAUUACACACAGUGAUUUGCAAAACACUAAACACACUUGUAUACAUCAGACACAGAAGUAUAUCAUGAUGUCACUUCCUUGCAAUUCCAAAGCACUGACUGUCAAAUUACCACACCUAUGAGCCAAUCUGUUAAACACAGCCAUCAGGUGCACAAACACAUGAUUGCUAAAUUGUAGACGCACCAAUCAGGUUUAAGCACUAUAAAAAUGCAGCUGGUAGGUUCACCUGCCUUCAACCAAAAUGGAAGAAGUCAGAAGAAGAGUGAGGGUGAGAGGAGGAGUACACAGAGAAGGAGGUAGAGGAAGAGGCCGAGCCAGAGGUCGAGGAAGACCUGAAGCAGGAGGAGAAUGUGCACAAAGAAGAGGACCAAACUUAUCAAAUGACAUUCGUGCAACACUAGUGGACCAUGUUGUGAACCACGGAUUGACGCUGAGGGAGGCUGGACUGAGAGUUCAGCCAAAUCUUAGCAGAUAUACAGUGGCAUCUGUCAUAAGGACUUUUCGACAGGAAAACGGGUAAAAGAUCUGUCUACAGUUACAGUAAUCAGCUACUUAUUGUAUGCACCAUAUCAGCACUUGUGAUACCCCUUCCUGUGACAUUGUACAGUAAGUUACAUGUAUUAUUCUCUACAUAGGCUUGAGGGUCGGGAACGACAAGGAGGAAGGGGGCCCAUAUUCACACAAGAACAAGAGAGAUAGUAAACAUGGUUUUGGCCAAUAAUGCUAUCAGGCUCAGAGAACUACAAGCCAACAUUAUCGGUGACCAUGCCAUUUUCAAUAAUGUCCACCAGGUCUCUCAGUCAACACUGGCACGCAUUCUGAAAAGACAUCAGGUUCAAAUGAAACAACUUUAUCGAGUGCCUUUUGAGCGGAAUUCAGAGAGGGUCAAACGGCUGCGGCAUGAGUAUGUGGAGGGAGUUUUGCAGAUGGAUGCUGAGGAAAUCCUGCAGGAAUUCAUAUAUAUUGAUGAGGCAGGGUUCAACCUCACAAAAGCAAGAAGGAGAGGAAGAAAUAUCAUUGGCCACAGGGCUAUAAUCAAUGUCCCAGGGCAACGUGGGGGUAACAUCACCCUUUGCGCUGACAUUUCAGAGCAUGGGGUUGUCCUCCGUCAUGCCAAAAUGGGCCCAUACAACACCUCACAUUCUCACACUUUUGGACCGAUUGCACCACAUCGUCACAGCAGGUAAUGAAAUGCACCAGAUGCAAUACACGGUCAUCUGGGACAAUGUGUUAUUCCACCGCUCUGCUUUGGUCCAGAACUGGUUUCAACAGCAUCCACAGUUGUCAGUACUAUACCUUCCACCAUACUCUCCGUUUCUAAACCCUAUCGAAGAGUUGUUCUCUGCAUGGCGGUGGAAGGUUUACGAUCUCCAGCCCCAGGCUCAGGUACCCCUCAUUCAGGCCAUGGAGGACGCCUGUGACCAAGUCCACGCCGCAGCUGACUUUCAAGACGGUUCUUCCCGCGUUGUCUUGCUAAUGACGAUAUUGCUUGUGAUGUUGAUGAAAUUCUCUGGCCAGAUCCAGCUAGGCGAAGAGAUAAUGUAUAGUAUGUUUACUGUAGUAUUUUCUGUACAAUAUUGUCCGUUUUUUUCAGAUUAUUUUUUAUGUUUGUUGUUGUUGUUAUUUACUGUAAUUGUAACCUGUACUGGAUACAGUAUUUUACGUUUGUCUGUUUGCUGAGCUAACAGUGUUAUGCACACUACUGUAGUAGCAUGAAAACUGAGACAUGUUAUGUUGUGAUUCUCCAUGUUGACAUGUUGACUGAUUUGGGUAUAUGGAGAGAAAUAAAUGAUAUUUUCCUCAGUCUGCAGCAUUGGUCUUGUGUCGU